UACAACAUAGAAUUAAUGCAGUGGGUCCCAUUAGAACUCCAAAGUUAAGUGCACUCAAGAUAGAGGAGUACUGGAAUGGGUGAUCGCCCGAGAAGUCCUAGUGUUUUAC
rfam:Picea glauca, whole genome shotgun sequence.